UACGUAGGCAGCCGAGCGUUGUUCGGAGUUACUGGGCGUAAAGAGUGCGUAGGCGGUGCUCCAAGUCUGGUGUGAAAUCUCCCGCUUAACCGGGAGGGUGCGCCGGAAAGCUGGGGUGCUGGAGUGUGGGAGAGGCAAGGCGGAAUUCCUGGUGUAGCGGUGAAAUGCGCAGAUAUCAGGAGGAACACCGGUGGCGAAGGCGGGUCUCUGGGCCGAUAUUGACGCUGAGGAGCGAAAGCCAGGGAGCGAACAGG
rnacentral:rRNA from 1 species